rnacentral:lncRNA from 1 species
AACUAUCAUAGCUGAAUUUUAAAAGAGGAUACACCUCUUUUCCCAAACCUGCAAACUCUGAAGCUGAUCUUCUUAACUCUUCAAUUGCACGUCUCCAAUGCUCCGCUUUCUUUCUGUAGGCCAUAGCUCGACCAAUAGUAUUGAGCUUUAAGCCUCUGUAUGACGUAUUUGAUUUCCCCUUUGUUGUGAUUUAAAUAAUAAUAUUGCUGCGGAAAGCCUUUGGUCCGAGUGAAUGAAUAGCAUGACUCUUGAAUAAAACUACAGAUUUUAAUUAAGAUGGGUAUGAAGAUAAGUACUAUUAAUGGAAAAACUAGAGAAUGAAAUUCUUGGAAAUUAAAAAAAAAAAUUCAAUUCUUCCCCAAAAAAAUUAAAUUAUGAGGUUGAUAAUAAAAAAAUUUACAAUAGCUUUCAAUAUUUUUAAGUUAUUAAAUUUCUGCAAAAAUGAAUGAAAAAAAAAAUUACUUUGUUGGUCCGUUGGAUAUGACUUAAAGUAAGAAAUGGAGUUUGAUUACAUAUAAGGAGCUAAAUAAUUGAUUUUACCUUAAAAAAAAAUAAAAAAAAAAGAGCAUUUCUUUGUUGUCGUAUUUUUCUAAUAGUAUUUAAAAAAAAUUAAAGGCUGCAAAUGACAAUAAAAUAUUCUUUAUUAUUCUUUUUUCUUAUAAAAAAAAAAGUUAAUAGUGAUAUCUCUUUCCUAUUUUACCCUCGCAAACUAAUAAAAUUUGCUAAUCCAAUACCCUAUUAAAACCCGCACUUUCGCUUUCCCUCUUCCAUUUUGGCGCGCGAUCUCUCUAAAUCCAUGGAAAUAAACCGUUAAUUGUGGCAUGUUAUGGCUGAAAAUUUUGCAUCUGACCUGUCGCUUGUUCCUCUCGAAAUGUGAAAUCUUCUAAUUUUGAUUUUUGAGACAAAUUUGAAUUGAGUUCUUCUGAUUCGAUGUGUCGAUCUCUUGUUAUACAAUUCGUACGUGUGAUAGAAUGCUGUGCUUCACUUCCUUGGCGUAUAAUUGCAAAUGUUUUUUUUUCUUAAUGGUUAAUUAGUUUUUUAUUGAGGCUUGGUUUGUUUGCGCAUGCCAUUUGUUUGCUUUCGUGCCCUCAUUUCAUUUGAGUUCAAAUGUUCUCCUUAUUCAUUUUGCGUGUCUCCAUUUUGUUUCCUGUUUACAAAGGAGAUGAAGAGUUAAGUUUGAAUUUACAAUUAGCUGCUGUCCUGUCAAGUAUAGUAAAUCAUGGAACUUCCCCUAAGGAGGCAAUUCACCAAGAUGGCUUUCAGAGUUUUAAGUUGAAUAUUCUUACUGCAUUUUAUUUGGCUGCAUGUAUUAGGAUCAUUUACUUAAAACUUUUUGUUGUAGAGGUAGACGGAAUAUUGGCUUGGUGUGUGAUGAGGUGGUGAUGCAAAGACUUUAAAUCGAAAGAAAUGCCUGUAACUUUGCAAGAUGAUUAUAGACCCGUGAAUUAACCGGCCAGACUACAAGAAAGCUUUCCAUAACAAAUGAGGGACCUGUACUGAUUUUCAUCAAUAAAUAUUACAGUUGAGGAAAAAAUGCAAUGCCAUUUGUGCUUGGAGAAAUACACUGCAUCUGAUUUGUUUAGUCUUCUUGAAUGUUUUUGUGCAAAGUUCUAAUUGCUUAAAUGUUUCUGUAAGGUGCACUAUAUUAAACAUUUUCUCAAGUUAAGGAGGAAAAGCAUGUGUUCUUUUCAAAUUUCAAGCCAUUUUGCAGUUUUUAGCUUUCUAGGAUACUGUUUGAAGUAUUAGCUUGUAAGAUCGACAUCUAAUGUUUUUCUUGUCUAUAAAUAUCUUAAUACUCUUCUUUUCUCUCCUUGUAGCGCUUUCAACUAUUUUACUGAUAAGUGAGGAUAGAGACAGAGGGAUGAAGUUCAAAGCAUUUCUCACAGAGAAUGGAGUAAAUCUCUUAGAAAAAAGAUUCCUACUUGUCCUAGACAAAAUGGGGAAGGUAUGCCACCUCUUCCUUACUAGAGAGAAAGCUUACUUCCUCCACAACCUUCUCAGUGGUGAAGGGAUUCAAUGUGUUGCCCAGUUUCACAAGGAAACUCUCUUUGAUGAUUACCGCAUCUCAAGUCAAAAUGAGGACUGCAUUGCCUUUGCCAUAGACAUAUCUCUUCUUCAGCGUGCUGUUUGAAGUAGUGUCAGUAUUUGCUCUGAAAUUGGUGCAGCUGGAUCCGCUGCCAAUUGCCUCCAAAUAAAAUUGGUGAAGAAGCUGCCUCCAAAUUGUACUCAAGCAAUGCCUUUCCUUACCUUGGAAACCAAGGGGUACAAGUCUGCAGUAAUCCAAGAUGUUCCAAUUUCAAAACCAUUGUCAAGGGCUCAAGUACUUGAACUUCAGACUGCUUUAGAUAUGGCUCAAGAUUUACCUCCGACUCUGGUUCAGGUUCCGGAUUUGAAUCAGCUGUAGAAUUUCGUAGACUGGAUGAAGCAUGUUGGUGAUUUGGUAAAUGUCUCCAUUUGCAAAUACGGGGAUCUCCAUUUACAAAUAUCAACAACUCUGAUCACACUAGGUGCUGAGUUUCGAAAAUUGUUGGUUAUUGGAGAGAAAGCUGUAGCUCCAUCUGAGGACCGAAAUUUGAGUGCUCAGACUCGAUCAGAGAGGGGGCAAUAUCCAGAGGGGAUGCUCAAUCUGUGCAAGUGAGCAUGAAGCACUUUUCAAAAAGCCUCCACUGUCACUUUGCAAAGCCGGAUUGUGCAUUCUAUGGUAUUGCUCCACAGGUUGCUUGCUUGACGGGGAUAUUCCAGUUCUUCAUUCCUGGCACACGUCAAACUGAUAAAUCAAUUUUGGGCCAAGCCGAAAUAGCAUUGACUGCUGCCUCCUCACUUUUCAUUCGUCAAUUUCCGAAUAGCAUGGCUUUUCGGAAUGUGUUCUAUGCAUAUGCGUUGUGCUGGGUCCAAUGAAAUUAGGUAUAUUAUUUAUUUAUAUGGAAAUUUUUUAAUAGAAAAGAUAUACAGAAGAUUUUUCUAGAAAAAUUUAAAUUUAAAGACUGUGUUGUAAAAGUGCAUAUAUUAUUUAUUUAUAUGAAGAUUUUUUAAUAUAAAUCCAAACUUUUAAAAAUUUAAUUAUUUAGAAAUUUAAGAGUUAAUAUAUAUUGUGGCGGGCCUAGGCAACUACUUUAAGCAUUAUUUGAUAUUGCGAUUGGGCAUGCAGCUGUAACUUAAAACUACGUCACCUACUUCAUUCUACACUUUUAUAACAAGAAACUUGUAAUACCAAUAGAUAAUUUGGCCAAUUUAGGUGUUGCGGUGGAUUCUUUUACUUGAUCGGUCUCAUGUUGCUUCUCUUUUGCAUAAGGUUGUUUUUAGGCGCCUGACUUUUAGUUCAUCUAGCUUUUAGGCUGCCCGACUUUCAGUUCUUGUUAUAUUUUUAUUUUGAUUUUGAUAAAAUCUCCUCACUUUGGUGAGGAUUUAUCCCCCAAUAAUAAUAAUAAUAAUAAUAAUAAUAAAAUAUCACCUGUCCUAAUUUUUAGCAAUCUCACCCUCAUUCAUUGAGGGGCUUAGCUGCGUAGGACUUGACCAGACAAAAAUAAUUGGGUCAACUUUGAAACGUUUGACCAAAAUCCCACUUGAAAUGAAAGUCUGUUUUAAGUGUCCAAUUAGGUGAAAUUUGGCUAUAAUGGUUUUAACGAAGGACUACUUCCUUUAUUUCACGUUGAAAAAGAACUUAACAAUAACUAACGUGUGGUGCUAGCUUUUAGUAGUACAACUGUACAAGAUCUUUCCAAUGUCAUGCUACAUAGAAAAGUGUUGAAACUUGAAAAUUAAUUGAGAAUGGAAAUUAAAUCAUCAUCUUGGGGAAGACAUAAUUAAGCAAAAACUUAUACCAUUAACAAUGAGUCUCAUUUGCACCACUUUCUACCCACCAUUGACUUUUGGAACGAAAUGACAUUUUUAUGGAAACCCUAAAAGCUCCCGAUAGUUUUUGGUGAUGAUAGCAAGAUCUUUGCAGCAUGGGAUGGCUUUUAUUUAUGUGAAAUAUUUCUAUAAUAAUUUAUAACUCUUUCUUUUGAGUGUUUUCUUAAAAUUUAACUGAAGUCCUCUCUGUAAUAAAGUUGGUGUUUGGUGCACUACUUUUUAGUACUUUUUGACAAAAGUUUUACAAAGUAAAUUAAAGUCAAAUUGUAAGAAGCAUAAACAUUGGUGCACUAGAACACAAGUUUUACGUCUUCAUUGAAACAUAACGAGAUUGAGAAAUGGAAUUACUCUCAGCACAAUUCUUGCAUAAGAUAAAAACUUACUGAUUCAAAAAAUUUUAGGCAGGAGAAAUAUUUUGUAGGAAACAAAUAGAAUGAACAGAACAAUAGUAAAUUUAAUUUCAUUUUCGACAUAAUCUAUUUAAUUUAUUCCCAUUCUUACCUUUGGCAGCAAGUCUAUGUAAUUACUAGUGGUAAGAUAGAAUCUGAGUCAAAACUGAAGAUGAGAUAUUGGAGAAAACCAAAUAGAGACGACCGAUGAUUGAACAACUUAAAACCAAAUAGCAACCACUGAUGAUUGAACAACUUCAGUCUAUUUCCUUUCCUCCAAUUCUCACCUUAAGUUGCAACUAUUUAUCACAAAAGUUUCGUUACCAUUGUGAGUACAGGCAGACAGAACACCAACAUAAGCUACCUCAUCCGGUUUGAUCGAAGCCCUAAGCAUUUGGGAAAACAUAUCAAGAGCUUUAUCACCAUUGCCACUGAUGGCGAGGCCAACAAUCAUGGUCGUCCAUGAGAAUUUGUCCUUUCAAAGCACCUUCCUGAAUACCUUUUGAGCUUUCUCAACAUCUGCGCAUAUACAGUACAUGUCUAUCAAAGCAUUCCCCGCAAAUAUAUCAUUCUUGACUUUGUUUUUGUCAAUAUAAGUCUUUAUCCAUUCUCCCAGAUCUAGUGCCCUCAGAUUCGCACGAGCUGUAAGAAUGCUAACAAUGGUAAACUCGUCUCCCAUUAUAUUUGAAGUUUGCAUCUCCUGAAAAAGCGUCAAAGCCUCUCUGAACCUAUUCACUCGAAGGUACCCAUCAAUCAUGGCAGUCCAUAAGACAUAAUCUCGUUCUGGCAUCUGAUCAAAACACUGUCGAGCUAUAUCGACUUGUCCUCUGUUUAUAUACCUCGAAACAAUGGCAGUCCAAGAAAUUACAUCUUUAUUCUUCAUGUUCCCAAAAAUCUCAAGAGCAAAACCCAUUUCUCCAUGAGAGGAGUUCCUUAUGCUCCAGCAGUUGGCAGUUUGGUGUAUGCCAUAAUUUGUAUAAGACCAGAUAUUGCUUAUACAGCUAGUGUAGUCAGUGGUUUCUCUUCAAUCCCGGUAAAGAGCACUGGACAACAGUGAAAAAUUCUCAGAUAUCUUAGAGGCAUUUUCAGAGCAUGUUUAUAUUUUGGUGGUGACAAACCUGUGUUACAAGUGUGUAGAUAUGGCAGGAGAUGUUGAUUCCGAAAAAUUCCUACUUGGAUGUUUGCUCACUUUUGUAGGGGGAGCAGUCUCAUCGCAAUCUAAACUUUAGUAAUAAGUUGCCUUUUCUACCACUAAAGCAAAUGAUAUUACAAUUAUUGAAGGUUGCAAAAAAAUAUUGUGGACGAAAAAUUUCCUACAAGAGCUGGGUAUAAAACGAGACAACUAUGUUAUGUACUGCGACAGUCAGAGUGCCGUUCAAAGAAUUUGAUAUACCAUUCGAAAUCUAAGCAAAUUGAUAUGAGGUAUCAUUAGAUACGAGACGUACUUGAGAAAGAACAGUUAUAGCUUGAGAAGAUUUACACAACGGAGAAUGGGUUAUGUAUGAUGACAAAUUCAUUAUUCAAGGAGAAACUGAAAAGUUAUAAGCAAAGAGCGGGCCUGUGGUGCCCCCCACAUGAUCUAAAGGGGGAGAUUUGUUGUAUUCAUCUCAUAUAGAGGCCCAAAAGUCCAUAGUCCAAAAAGGAUUGUUUGGUGUGCAAUUAUCACUAAGUUUUAGACUUAGAUGAAAUUUACCAUUAAAAGUAGCUUUUUAAAUGCUAUAAAGAAUAAAGGCAAGUGGCGGCUAACAUUAAGAAAAGUAGAAGAAAAGAACGAGAGAGAGAGAGAAAAAAAAACACAAUGGUGAUUCCUUUGGUUUUGGGGCAAGGGUUUCCAUCUUUGGUCGGACAAUCGAAAAAGUGAACUUAACUAUUUUUCUCAAAUUUAGAAGAUAAGUUAUAGCAUCGCCUUAUACACAUCCUACUAAUCUUAAUUUUUUGUUUUAUCCUCUUAUUAACUAUUAUUUAAGAUACCUACUUAUUAGAGAUUGUUAUUUGAUAUACUUACUAAUUAGAGACUGUUAUUUUAGAUAUCUACUUAUUAGAGAGAUAUAUAUUAGGUUGUAUUAUAAGUUAAGAUUAUUGUAAGUUAAAAUUUUCACAUAAAAAUUUGUGCCUCUUGUAAUUGGCUUAUUAUUUUAGAUUAUGUUGAUUUAUUUUUUACUUAUUUAUUUAUGGUAUAUUUCAUGUUUUAAUCACACAAAGAGAAAAAAUAUUUUGUUUUCACUUAAUUUGCAGUUGCUUGUGUAAGUUCAUUCUCGACAAUCAGAAUCUCAUUUCCAUGAUUAACAAAAUUACCUUCAUUCCAAAUUCUAAAAUCAAACUUUGCCCUGAUUAAUUAAUGAAAAUAUAAAAGAAAAAAAUAAAAUUAAAAUCCUGAAAAUGAAAUUAGACAACACCUAAAAUCGAACCAGCAGCGCCCAUACCAAAGUCGAACUGCUGACAACUUGCCAUUGACCUCGCAUCAAGCAGCAGCACCUGCCGUCAUUUGUGCAAUAAACUAGUAGCUCCCCGAAUCGCAGCCACAACAUCUCCCAUCGUUAGCACAAUGAAACAACUUCUUCCUAAAUUGAAACAGUAACACCUGACAUUGCCAGAAAUAAUAGCCGUUGAAGCGUCGCAAGUCAAUCUCACAUGAAAGCAGCAGCCGAUAGGCAGCCACUACAAAAAUGAUGAUGAUAAUGAUGAUUUUUUUUUUUGAAAUGAUGAUGAUAAUGCUUUUUUGGGAAAAAAUGAUGAUGAUGAUUAUUCUUAUUAUUAUUGUUAUUUUUGGCAUAAUAAAUAAUUGUUGUUGUUGUCAUGUUUGUUAUUAUUAAUUUUAUCAUUAUUAUUAUUGAAAUAAAGUAAUUAUUGUUAUUAACAAUAAUUUUUUUGAAUAAUAAUAAUGUAACAAACAAUAAUGAUAAUAUUAUCAUCAUUAUUAUUUCUUUUUAAUGAUAUGACAAAUAUUAAAUAAUAAUAAUUAGAAUAACAAACCAAAGAUAUUUUAUUAACUUAAAAUAAUUCAUUCCGAUUCGAGGACAACAUAAACACAUCAACGGUAAUACAACUCAUUUCAAUUUCAGUCUAUUCUGAUUACUGAUAAGUAAAUGAACCAUAAUUGUUUUUCUACCAAUUAUUUUAUUUUAUGUUAAAUUGUAAAUUUAGAUUAUUUUUUUAUCUAUAAGGCAGUUAGAGAUAAUAUCGACACACCAAUAUAAUAGUGAGAACAUUUGAACAUGUCAAUAUGGUUGCAGUACAUUAUGUCUAAAUGCCAAUAUAGUUGUUGCCAAUCAACUUAAGACUACUUGUAGAAGUUACCAACUUCAGUCCCCAAAGCGUCUACCCUACAACCAGCAUAGUGAGUGUUAUAAAAAGUUUUUUUUUUUUUUUAUAAAGAAUAAUUUUUUAUUUAUUUUUAAAUGAUUUUAGUUAUUCAGAUAAUUGAUUAAUACUGAAAAAAAUAUAUUUAAUAAAAAUAAAAAUUAUUAUUUUUCAUUUAUUGAUUGAUAUGCUCAUAAUUAUUUUUUAUUUUUAUUUUUAUCUUAAUUUUCUGUUAAAUUAUAUUUUGAUAUGUUAAUUUUUAUUUUUAUUUUUAUUUUUAUAUUUUAUUAUUAUAAGUAUAUUUUAAGAAUAAAGAAAAAAUAAAAGAAAAUCGACAGUAGAAGACAUUAGGAAAAGAAAUGUGGGCGGCCGAAUUAAUUAAUUAAUUAAUAAAAAGGACAGCGGCUACUUGCAUUAAUUUAAAAAAGGAAAAAAGAUAAAGUUUGGAAUCACGAGUGAGGCGGCGGCUUCUAUUAUAAUGGAGAGCACUUGAAUAUAUGCUAAUCAGUAAUUAAAAUAUGGUGAAAUCAGAAUUUGAGAAUUACCGUGUGAAAGUCAGGAAGCACCUGCCUGCCAAAAAUUUUGUCAUCGUGAUGAAUAGUAUGUUUCUGGAUUUUUGGGGGCCCUGAAAUAGUGGAAGCCACUAUUUCAAACUAGAACAACAUAAGGAUAUAAGCAGUGACAUUGAAGACGAGAGAGGGAGCUUGAGGUUGGGGGGAAUGCACUCGUAAAGAGGGAAGAACAAGAGCGUACGAUGGUCAUAUUCCAAAUUGAAUUUGAGACUUGAUAGAUUGAUUAAUCUUGUCUUGUAGGGGGAAGGCAAGUUUGCACAGGGUGAGCCGGAGGUUAAAUAAAAUAUUUAGAGCUAGGUAAUGUAUUGUCCUUAGAUAGCAUGUCACAAUAAAUUAUUUAAGCUAGAAUCAGACCACUCAUAUUUCACUUCAAGUUGUAUAACUUACGGGAGCGAGAGGGAGAGAAAUAAUUGGGAAAUAUAGGGGAAAAAAAAUCUCUUCUUUGUUAAAUAAAAUAAGUGAUUAAUUUUCUUAAGUUAAGAUGAGGGGUAAAAUUUAAAGAUUUUAACUAUGAAAUUAAUUACUCUCUUAAGUAAAUUUAAAGUUUAUUGUUUUCAAUUACAUGUUUACAAUUUGUAUUUUCUACCAAUUAUUUUUAUUUUAUGUUAAUUUGUAUAUCUAGAUUAUUUCUGAAUGUAUAGGGCAUUUAGAGAUAAUAUUGACAUACCAAUAUAGUAGUUAGAACUUGCCAAUAUGAUUGGAGUACAUUUGUCAAAAUACCCAUAUAGACCUAAAGUGAAUUUAGACCUAUAGAUUAACAUACACAUUAUGUCUAUAUAUGUAUAUGAAUCCAAAGUGGAUUUAGAUCUAUAGAUUAAUACGAAAUAAAAUAAAUUAUAAAUAUGUAAUUAAAAAUAAUGAACUUUAAACUUACUUGAGAGUUCAACUAAUUCUAUAAUUUAUAUUUUUGAGCAUCAUCCUUCCCCUUUAUCUUAAAAAAUUAGCCAUAUAUAUGGGUAAAUAAAGCACAUUAAGGACUUAAUUACUUUUCUCCGUUAAAUAUUAAAGUUAGCUUCAGCUGAAAUGCAAUGCAGUUUCUUCGAUUUAACGUUUAUACUUUGUUUACUAUUUAUAAUAUUAAAUUUUAAUUGUGGAUGAUCCUCUAGGAGAGAGAAAAAAUAUUAAAAAAAUAUUUAACAUUAAUGAUAACAAAUCUCAACUAUUGAUUAACCAUAAAUCUGAAAGUUAUUAACGGAAUAUGUAGUGGAUUUUCCAAUGUUUUAACAACCAUGCGAAACCAUAACGAUUCUCUGCCAAUUAAUCAAUAAAAUAAUAAUUGUUAUCACAACAGUAAUUUAAACAAAAUUACAUUCUUUUUCCCCAUUUUUAAGAAAAGAAAAGGAACGAAAGCUACACAUUUUUCAAAUUUUAUGUUAUAUUUUCCAACUUAUGUGCUGCACAUGUAGUAGUAUUAAACUUAAAAAUUAUAGCCACUUCGGCCUUGGUCGGAGUAGUAUUAAGCUUGUGAGGGCAGCGGUUCAAGCCCCCACAAAAGCAUUUGUGGGGGCUAACGUGCUUAUUUUGUUUAAUAUUUCAAAAAUUUCCUCUCCCUCGUGCAAUACGAGUGGAGUAUGGACAUCCCUCUUCUGUAAGGGAUUAUUUGUCUGGGCAUGUACUUCACAGAAUUCAAUGUAAUAAUAUAAGUCCCAAUCAUGUAUUUCUGAUUGUAAAUAUCAGUGUAAUAUAUCUGCUAUAAUAGCAGUUGUAAAUAUCUGUGUAAUGCAGUAAUAUGAUGAUUAAUCAGUAUUCAAAAAAAAAAAACUUAAAAAUUAUAAAGAAAAAAAUUUCAAUAUAACAAUUAAGUUAUAAUUAUUGGCGAUCGCAUGCAUGCUUUCAAAUUAAAGUAGUCGGCCAUCAGUUGAUGUGAUUUUUUGGCAUUGAAUGACAAUUUUAAAAUGACAUGUCAAGCAAAAGGAUAAGCAAAUUUGACAAUAUGCCAGAGUUUGGUCUCAUUAGCCCUCAUAGAUAUUGUGAAUUUAUGAGGUACAAAUUGAUUGAAGCUCUAUUUUUAGAUAAAACACAAACAAAUUUCAAAUUAUCCAAAUAUGGAUUAUGUUACGUAACAUACACUAAUGUUGGUGUUAAAAGGAAAAAAAUGUUGAAAAUAAUAGUGGAAAAAUAAAAUCAUCCAAAAAAAAGUGGGUUGAGAUUUAAUUGGUUAGGGUGACUAGAAAAUUUUAAUGACACAAGUGAUACAAAUUAAACACAUUAAGGAUUUAAUUUUUUUCUACCCUAAAUAUUAAAGUCAACUUCAGCUGAAAUACAAUGCAGUUUCUUAAAUUUAACAUUUAGGCUUUGUUUAUUAUGUAAAGUAUUAAAUUUUAUUGUGGAUGCAUUUUUCUAGAAGAUCCUCUAGAAGAGACAAAAAAAGUAAAAAUUAUUUAGUAUUAAUGACAACUAAUCUUAACUAUUGAUUACCCAUAAAUCUAAAAGUUAUUAACCGAUGAUGCUGAGAUUAGUGUAUUUUCAAGUAUGUUGAUGUGUCAUCCCCCAUAAAUCAAUUACAAGAGAAUUCAAUCAAGAAAUCAAUUAAUGUUUUAAUUUAAUUGCCAGGCUCAAGCCCAGGCUUUAAGACCAAACGUGGGCCUAGGUCCGAUCAGGUCUCGGCGCCCUUCCGGCUAUUGAUUAGAGAUCCCUUAAGCAAGAGUUCACUCUUUCGGUGGAGAAUUAUUAAUACCCAAACGCAAGUACUUGAACAAAGAAAUUGGUUUUUGUUAGAACAGAAGAAAUUGCAAAAGGUGGAAUUGAUUGACCAUAGAAAAUCAAAACUUCAAAAAAUUUAUUGUCAUUUGAUUUUCGGUAAAGAGGGCUAAUAUACCUAAUAUUUUCCCUGUUUUAAUUCUAUCCAUUCUAGACGUGUGCAUUUCAGUGAGAUUAUAUCUUUUUACAGCAAGUUUAUGCGAGAAUUGGUUUAAGUCAUAUGUUCUUCUCGUUCGUCAAUUGACAGGAAAUUAAAUCGCUAUGAAGAUAUAAAUAAAGUAUCAAUUUGUAUUAAAAAAAAAAAAAAAAGUAAUGGCAGUGCCGGCAAAUUUAUGAAGCAUUAAUUCCAUUAAUUCAACAUUUAAUUGUGAUUAGCAGAAGACAAAAAGAGAGAGAGAGAGACUGAAAUAAAAACAGUGAAGAAAACGUCAAGAAUAAAUUUCUUUUAAAUUCUUCUUUUAAAAGACAAACGCACUCACCAGAAAUCAAAUUUUGCGACCACUGCUCAGGAACGAGGUUGGAAACAGGAACGAAAAGCAAUUUGAGUGGCUUCAUCCUCCCAUUGAAGUCGGUUCCACCAGUCUUCUUCUCCACGAAUUACAAAUUUACGCUCUUUUGCACUGUUGGAAUCGAGUGGAAGCUUUCUAAGCUGAUCACAUGCUCUUACCCCCAUUUCUUUGAGAUGAGUGAAAGGCAAUGGCUUCCAGAAAAUGCUCUUCAACUCCGGCAAAUAUGAUAGAUCAAGACUUUUGAGAUUUUCAAAAGGGCUUAUAUGUCCCAUCAUCUCAGGAUUCUCAGCAAUUUUUCCGACGCUGAUUAUUUCUUCCAUAGCACGGCAUUUGAAUAGCGAAAGAGACUUGAGGUUUGGAGCAAAAGCGAGGAAUGUCGAAUCUUUCAAUUUAUGGCAACUAUAUAUCGUAACAAGGUGAAGGCUGUGGAAAACAAAAGGUUCCCGCCUUUUUCGUACUAUCUCCGUAUAAUCAAUCUUCAAUUCUUCCAACUCAAUACCAUUAUCAAUCCAUAAUUCAUUGAGGUGGUUUAGGUCUGUGAAAGCCGUAGCAUCAAUAAUCGACUUUUUAUCUCCGGUCAAAUAGAGGUAAAGAGAUCGAAUACAACUUUUUAACUUAUUUGAGCUCAAAACAAUUUGGAGAGCAUGAUAACUUCCCAAGGUCAACUCCAAUACCUCUAAAUAUUUCAAACCGAGCAAUUCCUGUAUCAAAACUUCACCCCCACCAAAUAAAACGCUGUCUUCUGAUGCUUCAUGAAAACGAUCAUAGCCAGUAGCGAACAUUCUCAACACACGUAACCUUGAAGAAUUUGAUAUUAGUUGCCGCGGAAUUUUCCUUAACUGGCUUGUCAGCCUCAAAUUCAAACAUUUCAGAUUUACCAACAACUUUAACUCUUCUGGUAACUCUUGUAUUUGGGUACGUGAAAUAUCGAGAAGUUCUAGUGAUGAACCCAACUCUGACAUCCCAACAGGUAAUUUCAAAUUCGAACAGUUUGACAUCUUCAAAACUUUGAGAGAAGGCAUAAAUUGGAAGAAGCCAUCGGUCAUCAUCUCCAAUUUAUAAUUAAAGUCAAGAAAUAAAGUGAGGAGAUGAGGGCAUGUGGGAACCUCUGACAGAAUUUCAAUUUGGUUUUGCAUCAAUGACAAUCUUCUCACAUUUUCCCAUCCUUCAACAUCUGAUACCGCUCCUACUCCAGCACCUGCACAAACCAAAAAUUUUCUCUCCUCCUUCUCAAUUUCACAAGCUAUCCAUCGAGCCAUAUCACGAACAACGUCAUGCAUUUUUACUUUAUCAUCUUCCAUCUCUUCUAGCAAACACGCAUGAACAAGAGUGCCCACAAUGUAGUAUCCUUGGUUUUCUGCACUGAACCUGUCAGAUUCCUCUAAGAAUCCCUCACCAAUCCAACAAUCAAUCAAGUCCCAUUUAAGAAUGCCAUAAUCCUCGGGAUAUAAACAACAAUAUAAGAAACAAGAUCUAAUGAUCUCAUUCUGCAAACUAUCAUAGCUAAACUUUAAAAGACGAUACACCUUCUCUCCCAAACCUGCAAACUCAGAAGCUGAUGUUCUUAGCACAUCAAUUGCAUGACUCCACUCCUCGGCUGUCUUUUUGAAGGCCAUAGCUCGACCAAUAGUAAUAAGUGCGAGUGGCAAACCACCACACUCUUUGGCCACAGUUUGGGCUAGCUCAACGAUCUCAUGAUCACUCUCAAGAGUUUCUUCCCCAACAUUUUCGCGGAACAGUUCCCAAGCUUGCUUUUCUGAUAGGCAUGCCACUUUAACCGGCCUAGCUCUCAUGCUGCCACAAACACCAAUGGAACGGGUUGUGAAUACGACUUUUGAGGUAGUAUUUUGUGCGCUGGGAAGUGGAACGCCCACUUUUGUUAAAUCAACCCGCUCCCAUAUAUCAUCUAACAGCAAUACAAUUCUCUUCUCUCUUAAACUCCGGAAGAUGUCGAGAGCUUUCUCCUCUACACUUUUACUCAGACCUAUCUUCUUCCCAAUAUCGUCUUGAAUUUUUUCAAGCCGCAGGUCUUUUGAAACUACGACCCAAAUCACACAAUCAAAGUUGUUUUGACUCUCAAGAAAUUUGUUGUUGAUAUGGGUCAAUAGUGUGGUUUUACCAACACCACCCAUACCAUAUAGGCCAAUGAUUCCCACUGAUUCUUCUACAAGACAUCUCCAAACUUGUUCAAGUUGUGAUUGCAAGCCUACUAUUGUUGGCUCAGUGGGUCUUUCAUCUGCUACAGGUUCUGGAGCUCUCUCAGGCACCACCUCGGUAGCCACCGCCGCAAAAACUCCUUCGUCGAUUAAAGUCUGCACAUCCCGUAGCUUUUUAGCCACUUGUUUCCCGAACUUGUAGCUUGACGCGCAGUUCUUGGAACAGUAGCCUCCAACACAUAAUUUGUCAAUUUCUUGAGAGCCGUGUCUUUUCAAUUCUCGUUCAGCGUCGACAACCCUCCUCAUCACAUCGUUCUUUUUAGCGAUUAGUCUUCCCAGUUCAGUGUCCAAGGCAUCAAGAUUAUCUUGGAGGUUACGUAUGUAUGCUGCUUUUCCAAGAAAGCAAUCCAAGCAACGAUUGAAAAGAGCACCAUCGCAUGUGAUCUGAAAAAUGCUACACAUCUUUGGAAUUUUGUUAAGAAAGAAAAUUGAUGGAGUUUGAUAAACUGAAGCUGCUGUAGGCUGUGGAAGAGAAAUUUUAGUAAUGACCUCUGUUCGUUAUAUGGCAAAAAUUUUAAAAAGAUUUAGGCACGUCUGAUUCGGGCCCCACUGUAAUGGCCUUUAAGAAAAGAGCAUCGCACAUUCACACUUGCAAACAUGAGCCGCUAACUUUUGAAGGAAAAACAGUUAGUAAUUAUCUUUUACCCACUGCCCCCGAAGAUAAUAGACUAACAGUAACUCUGAAUAAUGAUUAAUGACCCGGUUGUAAUUACCAAAAACUAGUUUUGAAAAAUAAUAAAACAAGAAUUGGAAAAAGACUGUUCGAUUCUUGACUAGUUUUUACUUGCCUCUAAUAAAAAGAGCCUAAUCGUCUGUCCUAUUUGUAUUCAAAAGAAUCCACUUUAAUUUGUAAUUUAUCGAAAAAAUUUAUUUUAAUUUGUAGUUUAGUAAAAGAAACCAGCUGGUUGUUUUGUCACUUUUGAUUUUGUGGAAUAUGACCUAGCUUUUUCUUGUUAGCAUUAAUUUUUAAUAAAAUACAAGCAAUUUCAAGGCCACCAACGUUAAAAGUGAAAAACAAUUUAGCAUUAAUUUUAAAACUUUUCUGACCGACGUUUGAAGGCUAAAGGCUGAUCUGAUCAUGAUAAUUGCUUAAAAGACUAAAAUACCCACCGAAAUUUCUUCUCUGUACAUUUUUAAUUGACAUAUAUUUAAAUCAAUAAUAUUAAAUAAAGCUUCUCCACCGUGGUUCACAUAUACCGUAAAUAUUUAGAGAAUUUAUCAUAUAAGUUUUUAAUUUUUUAAUAAAGAUGUUAAGAUUUUUUUAUCAUUAUGUUUUUUGAAUAUGUUUUUUGAAUAGUAAUUAAAAAUAAUUUUAAAAUUUUUUUAAUAAGUAAAAAUAAUAUAUAUAAUUUAAUCUAUCUAAUAGAUUAGUAAUAUUAAUUUUUUUAAUAUUUGAAGUAAUUUCAAAAAUAUAAUUAUUAAUUUAUCAUAAAUAAAUCUUUAGGUUAAAUGGUAUUUUAAAUUAAUAAAAUAUGAAUAUCUCACAUAUUUUAUUAAAAUUAUUUUAUAUAAUACUUAAAAUACUCUAAAUUUUCUAUAUAUUCAUUUUAAUAGUAUGUUUUUAUUUAUUAUAAAAUUUAUUUUAAUAUAAUAAAAUAUAUCUAAUGGACCAUAAAAUAUUAAAAAUUAUUUUAAAUAUUAAUAUUAUUUUAAAAAUAAAUAUUAUUUAUAUUUCUGCAAGAUUUUCUCUACACUUUCUUACUCUUUUGUUAUUGUUACAUUCUUAUUUAUGCCAUAAUAUGUUUUAAAUUUGAAGAGUUUAGAUAAACAUAAAAAUUAGUGCACACUGCAAUAUAAUAGUCCCGUAAUUUAAUCCCAAAUUAAAUUAGCGACAUUAGAUGCGGCUUCACAUUUGAAAAGUAUGCUCUUCAAUUAUUAAGAGCAUGAAAGGGAGUGCAGAAAAGAAAAAACAAUUAUUAAGAGCAUGACCUGGAAGAUUGUGAAUGAGCACUUGCACAGUUAAAUUAUCGGAACAGAAUUGUAGGGGCCACCAACUUGUGAAUAUCGGUACAAUUAUUGAGGAUUGUAGGGGCCACCAAUUUAUAACAAUUUGAAAAAGACUAUACAAUUUGUUGAUUAAUAAAAGAAUCCAGUUGGUUGUUUUGUCACUUAUGCUUUUGUGGAAUAUGAUCUCGCUUUUUAUGAUUAUAAUAACAUAAUAAUAAUAAUUAUAAUUCAUUUAACAAUAAUUAUAUUUUUUAAUUAAAUAGAGGUUAUUUUGAGAAUUUAAUAUUAUAGGGGCGAAUUCAUACUCUAGGAUUUUAAUAAAAUAAAAUUGAGUAUAAGGGGUUAAAUGAAAUUUUAUAUUUCAAAAAAUUUAUAAUAUUCAUGAAUAAAAUAUAAAUAACAUAAAGUAUAAGGGGUUAGAUGAAAUUAUAUAUAUAUGAGAAAAUGACAGUUACACUUUAAAUAUUUAGAUAACGGUCAUAUAAAUUUUUAAAUUUUUAAUGAAGACAUUAAAAUUUUUUUAAUUAUAAUAUCCUUUAAAUAGUAAUUAAAAAGAUUGACUUUAAAUUUUUUUAAUAAAUAUAAAACAAUAUAAAUAAUUUUUUCUAUCUAAUAGACUAGUAAUAUAAUUCUAGUAAUGACCUCUGUUAGUUAUACUGGAAAAAAAUUUAAAUAGAUUUAGUGCACACUUAACCUUUAUACCACUUGUACUAAUCAAGUUAGAAUAAUAAUUUCUAUAACUAUUAUCUCUUCAAGUUAAUAAAAUUAGACUGCGUUUGAUAAACUUUUUAAAUAAAUUUUAUUUUAAGUUAGUUUAAUCUUAACAUUAUGAUAAUUGAGAUAUAGUGUAAUUGGAAGUAUGUUAGUCUCUUUCUUUGCAAACAUUAUAAAUUACUUAAUUUCUCCAAUUUCAUAGUCAACUUUGCAAAAAAUAGUUUGUAACCUAAACUGCAUGUAGUAAAUUUUUUUUAAAUAUUAAUUCAUGCAUUGAAAUUCGAUUCAAGACCCAAAUUCUAAAAUGACUACUUCUUACACUUAAAAUUAGAUUAUAAAAAAGAUAACGGAAAAACAUUCUUUCAAUAAGAGUUUUAAAAUUUUAUUAACGAAUUCGAUGAACAGAAACUGCCCCGGAAGAUAACAAUAACUCUGAAUAAUAACCCGAUUAUAAUCACCAAAAACUAUUUUGAAAAGUAAUAGAAGAAAAAUUUAAAAAAAAAAAGACUAGACAAUAGAAAUAUUCGAUUCUUCACUACUUUAUACUUGCCUUUAAUAAGAGUCUCUAAUCGUCUAACGCACUACUAUUUAAAUAUUUGAACUUUAAUUUGAUGUUUAGUAAACGAUUCCACUUUAAUUUGUAGUUUAAUAAAAGAAUUUGUUUGCUUUUGCGGAUCUAACUCCAUUGCGGAAUAUUACGAUUUGCUUUUGUGGAACAUUAAGAUCUUGCUUUUUAUUGUUGGCGUAAAGACAAAUGAACGCAUUUUAGAACUUUUCUGACCAACGUUUCAAGACCAGGGCCUAACCAUGAUAAUUGUUAAAAGACUAAAAUGCCCACCGAAAUUUCUUCUCCUUACAUUUUUAAUUGAGAUAUUAUUUAAAUAAAUAACAUUAAAUCACGCUUUUUCACCACCAUGGUUCAUAUAUAUAGAGUAAAAAGACAGAUAUGCCCCUAACAUUUGAAAAAAUAGUUAUACAAACCCCCAAAUUUUUAACAAAGACGUGAAAAUUCUGUUUUUGUCAUAAUAUCCUUCAAAUGGUAACUAAAAAUAUUGAUCUUAAAUUUUUUGAUAAGUAAAAAAUAACAAAAAUAUUUAACCUACUUAAUUAGAGUUAACAACGAAUAAAAAUUAAACACACAUAGAUUUUUUUCUAACAAAUUUCAUAACCAACCCUUUCUUUUGUUAACCUGCUACUUCUGAUCUAACUAAAAUAAGUUGUAUAAAUUUAGAAUAAUUUAUUAAUCUUUUCAUAAUUCUUAUUGAUUAAAUAUUUUCAUAUUAAAUUUCAAAUUGUAAUGUAAAAUAUGUGAAAUUUAAGCUAAUGAUUAACAUUCAAAAAUUCAUCACCUAAAAAACUUUUUAAUUUAUAUGCAGAGUAAUAAUAAGAUUGCAAAAGAAAUUAAAAAUAUCACAAUACUACUUUGAGUUUAACAAUAAAAAAAUUAAAUGAAAAAUUAGAAGUGUAGUAAAAGAGAAAAAAGAUAUUUUAAAAAUAAAAUAAAUAUAACUCAAAAAGAGGAUUCGUGAGAAGAUUGGAAGGGUGCCAAUAGUCUAACUCUAUGAAAUAUUACCACUAAUCGUCUACAUCAUUUAGCUCACUUUUUUCCUGCUAAAAUCAAUUUGGAUAGAGAUUUCGUUAAUCAUUAAUAUUUUUUUGCCCUUUUCUUCAUCUUUAUGAUAAUCAUCAUCUCUGUUUCCAGCUCUAAAAGAAUCGAUUGCUAAAGUUAUAAAGUAUAUAUGUUUAUUUCUCUGUGUGCAAUAAUCUUUUGCAGAAUAUUACGUUUGUGGAAUUUUAAAGAUCUUGCUUUUUCUUGUCGGCAUUAAUUUGUAAUAAAAUAAAAUAACUUUUUUAAAGUAAAGAUAAUGUACGCAUUUUAGAACUUUUCUAACCAACGUUUCAAGAGCAGGACCUAAUCCCUAAUCAUGAUAAUCGUUAAAAGACUAAAAUGCCCACCGAAAUUUCUUCUGUGUACAUCUUUAAUUCAGAUAUUAUUUAAAUAACUAAUAUUAAAUCACACUUUUUCACCACCGCGGUUCACAUAUAUAAAAGUAAAAAGACAGCUAUGCCCCUAACAUUUGAAAAAAUAAUUAUACAAACCCAAAUUUUUAAUAAAGACAUAAAAAUUCUGUUUUCUCAUAAUAUCAUUCGAGCUGUAACUUUUGAUUAGUACAAAAUAAUAAAAAUAUUUAAUCUAUUUAAUAGACUAGUAAUAUCAAAAUAUUUUUUAAUAUUUGAAAUGAUUUAAAAAAUAUGAUUAUUAAUUUAUCUUAAAUAAAUCUUUGGGUUAAAUAGAAUUUUAAAUUAAUAAAAUUUUAAAUAGAAUUUUAAAUUAAUAAAAUAUAUCUUACAUAUUAAGAAUCUUAAAGUUAUUUUAUAUAAUAUUCAAAAUACCUGCNNNNNNNNNNNNNNNNNNNNNNNNNNNNNNNNNNNNNNNNNNNNNNNNNNNNNNNNNNNNNNNNNNNNNNNNNNNNNNNNNNNNNNNNNNNNNNNNNNNNNNNNNNNNNNNNNNNNNNNNNNNNNNNNNNNNNNNNNNNNNNNNNNNNNNNNNNNNNNNNNNNNNNNNNNNNNNNNNNNNNNNNNNNNNNNNNNNNNNNNNNNNNNNNNNNNNNNNNNNNNNNNNNNNNNNNNNNNNNNNNNNNNNNNNNNNNNNNNNNNNNNNNNUUAUAUUUAUUUUAAGAUUAAAAUUUAAUUUAUUAUAAAAUAUUAAAGUAAAAUUUUUUAAGUUAAUUAGAACAAACAGUAUUAUAAUCAAAAGAAACUUUCGAAGUCCUUUCCAUUAACCUCAGGUGUACCUUUUACUUCUCUCUCCAUAUGAAAUAGAGUGAAACUAUGGCACCCCUUCAUUAUCCUUAUAAAACCUCACUUCAAAUAAAUUACAAUUAAGGACAAAUAAAAAUUAAACACACACAGAUUUUUUUCCAACAAAUUUCAUAACCAAUCCUUUUUUUUUUUACCUGUUACUUUUUAUUUAACUAAAAUAAGUUGUAUCAAUUUAGAAUAAUAUGUUAAUCUUUUCAUAAUUUAUUAAAUAUUUUCGUACUUAAUUUCAAAUUAUAAUGUAAAAUAUAUGAAAUUUAAGCCAAUGAUUAAUGUUCAAAACUCAAAAGUUCAUCACCUAGAAAACUUUUUAAUUUUUGUGUAAAAUAAUAAUAAGAUUGCAAAAGAAAUAUAAAAUAUCACAAUACUACUUUGAGUAUAACAAUAAAAAAAAUUAAAUGAAAAAUUAGAAGUGUAUUAAUAACUCAAAAAGGUAAUCAUGAGAAGAUUGGAGGGGUGCCAAAUUCAAUAGUCUAACUCUAUGAAAUAUUACCACACUAAUCGCCUAUAUCAUUCAGCUCACUUUUUUUCCAGCUAAAAUCAAUUUGUAUAGAUAAUUCGAUUUCUAAAGUUAUAAAGCAUAUAUGCUUAUUUCUCUGCGUGCAAUAAUUCUAGCUAGGUAGAAGUGCAAAAGAUUUGACUUUAAAUAUAUUCUAAUAAGUGCAAACAUUAUAUAAAUAAUUGUAGAAUAAUAAUAGUUAAAUAAUCAAAAUGUAAGUAAUAUAUUUAUAUCUACUGAAAAUAUUAAAAAAAUUUGCUUAAAUAAUUUUUAUAAUUAAUCAAACAUAUCUAACAUAUUAAUAAUAUUAAAAUUAUUUUAAAUUCAAAAUAAUUUAAAUUUUUAUAAAUUUAUUUUAAUAUUAUGUCCCUAUUUAUUUGAAAAAUUAUAUUAACUUAAUAAAAUAUGUGUAGUAGAUUGUAAAACAUUAAAAUAUUUUUUAUAUUUAAAUUAUUUAAUAUAUAUAUAUAUAUAUCACAUUUAUUUUAAUAUUAGAUUUCUAUUUAUUGUAAAAUAUUAGAAUAUACAUAUUUUUUGAGUUAACACAGUAAAAGGAUAUUAUUAAUCAAAAUAGGAUAUCAAUAUCCCUUAUUGAAAUCUUGAUAAUCUGCAUGAUUAUUUCUUUUCUCCGGGAUUUAAAUUUCAUUGGAUCCUAAUUCAUGUCUACUUUCUCUUGAUUUAUUUUGUGCUUUUGACACUUGGCUAGGCAGUAAUUGCUCCUGCAAAUCCUUACACCAACACAAACUUAUAAUUUUAAUUAAGAAUUGUGUUAAUGAGGUUUUAAUAAAAGUUUUUCCUCUAAAAGUAAUAAUAACAAUAAUUUUGACCAAAGUUUCAAGGGCUUGGCUAGGCAGUAAUUGCUCCUGCAAAUCCUUACACCAACACAAACCAAGAAAUUGUAAAAUACACGGCCCGAUUCUUUAGCGAUGACCAUCUCAUCGUCGGCGGUCGUGUCAUCAUUGUCACUGGUCUUGUUCGACCGAGAUAGUAAGAGAGAAGUCUGUUAGAUGGAGUUUGUGAGAGAGAGUUGUAAAGAUGGAAUGACAUAAAGGAUUCGAUUUUCUUUAUUGUUUUUUAUUAAUAUUUUAAUUUUUAAAAUUAAAAAAAGGCGAGAGAUUGUGGGAGCGAAACGGCAGCACUCAAAUUUAUUUAAAUGCAAAAUUACAGACAACACAACGGAACACAUACUAUGUGGACCUUGAAUAAUCUAAUCUUGAAUGUUUAACUUUCAUUCCACUAAAGAGAAAAUAUUUCAACAUUAAGUUCACAUCAAUUUACAAUCAAUCUAUAGCAAUAAACAAUUGGAAAAACCAUUAAAAACACAUUGACAGACAAGGAUGAACUAAUGCACUGAUAUAUCUUUCAACAAGACAUCUAUUCAGGCUACAUAAUCAAAUAGAGUCUAUCAGAAAUAUCAUUUGCUCUUCCAUAACAUUCUUUACUGGGUUCAACUCCUCCAACUAAUAUAGUGGCAAAAACAAUUAUCCUGCAAGGCUGCAACUACCAAUCCAAAGCAUGUACUUUUCUUAAACCUGGUAAGUUUACCCUCGAAAGGGGAUAGAUUGCUUUUCUUUAGAAUAUCUUUUGCUUGCAUCUCUUCUCCAUUUUCAGUGUUUUACUUCUUAAAUAUUUUUGUUUCAUGCUUUGAUCAUCUUGAUAUACUCCCAUCUCUUCCAUGAUUUGUGUUAAAUAUAUAUUAAGGAACUUACGGAAAAGUAACCCACAUGCAUGUGUUAAAUGAGAUGACUCCACUUUGAAAUAAAAUAAAAGCAGGGACACUUGCUUUGUCCUUUUUCAACAUUUCACGCAUGAAAAGUAAAUUUCAUUUCAUAUUACUCCCUUAUAAAAUAAUCAUCUUUAAAAUAUUUCAAACUACUGCUAACAUAAUUUAUUUCAAUUUUAUUAAGAAGAAAAAAUAUUUCACCAACAUGUUCCAUUUUAAAUCGAGAGUAAAUUAAAAUUUAUAAUAAUUUAAGAGACAUUUUAAAUAUUGUUAUUUUCAGAGACACACAAUCUGAAAUUUACAAAUGCGUACAUUAUCUUUAAUAAUUAAAUAGAUGUAUGGACAUAAAAUGAAUGAAAUAGCUCGCCACCAAUUGUCCUUAGCAGUAAGUGAAUUCCCUGUUUAACUCCAAAGCUUUCACAAAGUUUUUGCCGGUAGCCUGGAAGCGGUCCUCUUCGCCAUUAUCUGCAAUUGUUAACAUACUUCAGGAGAAGGAAAGCUGAAAAAUUGGGGAAAAAAAGACCAAACCCAUAAGUGAAAGGAAAAUUAGCUAGUUUCUCCCCGUAUAUAUAUUUCUGCAGGACCAUUACAGGUUGAUAUGGUUGAUCAGACCAGCAUUUAAAGCAAGUGAACCUAAUUCUGUAUAAUAAAUUAUUGCUGUUUUUCUUUAACAUUGAUAUUACCUCAAUGCAUGAGCUAGUAUCUACAGAUACUUGCCUGCUGUACGGCCAAGGCGGAUGUACGGUACAGCAGCACCCGGUGCCUCUUCUAAUCGAGCACCUGCACAAACCAAAAAGUUUCUCUUCUCCUUCUCAAUUUCACAAGCUAUCCAUAAAGCCAUAUCACGAACAACGUCAUGCAUUUUUACUUUAUCAUCUUCCAUCUCUUCUAGCAAACACGCAUGAACAAGAGUGCCCACAAUGUAGUAUCCUUGGUUUUCUGCACUAAACCUGUCAGAUUCCUCCAAGAAUCCCUCACCAAUCCAACAAUCAAUCAAGUCCCAUUUAAGAAUGCCAUAAUCCUCGGGAUAUAAACAACAAUAUAAGAAACAAGAUCUAAUCGUCUCAUUCUGCAAACUAUCAUAGCUAAACUUUAAAAGACGAUACACCUUCUCUCCCAAACCUGCAAACUCAGAAGCUGAUGUUCUUAGCACAUCAAUUGCAUGAUGGCGGUUCUCUCACCACCUUUCCUAAUGCGUUGGACCUCCACUCCGUCUUCACCGUAAUUUCAGGAAAUUCAUCAGAUUUCUCAGCAGCACUAAAUAAAGCAGCAAAAACUUCCUUCCGUAAUUCAUUUCUGUCCUUUGGGUGCCUAAGCAAUUCCCCUUCGUUAGUAUUUGGAUUUUCCUUUGCACGACGGAGACAAUACAGUCAAAAGCUAAUCAAGUAACCAUAUAUGGAUGAGAAAUCCCUCCACCCCCUUCCAAAACAAAGUCUAAGAAAUAUCAUAAUUCUUUCAAUAAAAACCCUUCCCACCAUGCCGUGCGUACUGAAGGAAAUAUAUUAGUCUUACAACAAGCUGAGAAAAUAAAUUAAAUACCAUACCCUCCAGAAGAAUUCAAUUGUUGCAAUUUUCUUUUAUGUGGAGGCCCUCCAAAAGUAGAGCACAUAUCCUCUCAUUGUUUAUGAAAUCAUAAUAACAGGAAACCAGCUAUUAAUAACAAAACUUACAUUUGAAAUUCAACUGUGAUGAAAAAGGAUUAAAAAAAAUAUAUGAACUUGUUAUCUUGGAAGAAGGUAAUCUAAGAUAUAGCGAACUUCGCACAUUCAUAUAUGAACACAAAGGAUUUGUGGAUUUUCUAAAGCCAUAAUCAUUUAAUAAUCAUGAACCAAGCAAUAAUAUAUGAUUAUUAUUUCUUUUCUUCUAAACUACAGAUAUUUGUGCAUCAGAAUAAAGUGGUACACAAUGGUUGUGUGCAGAUACACACGCAUGAUCAACAGGAAACAUCAUCUGAACAUUUGUAUUACUAAUUUGGCAUACAAAGAUUCUCAUAAUAGUUCAAAAUACAAGUAAAUGAACAUUUACAUGAAGACACUGCCAAUCACCCACUCCUCAUUUCUCAAAGAUUCAUUGUUUAAAGAUGAGGCAAAUACUCUCCUUGUUACUUAAAUAAGAAUAUCCAAAUUCUCCACAAUGGCACAAUAUACAAAUUGCAUAUUCAUUUUCCUGUUCAAUACCAGUGUUGAGAAAAAUUAGUUAAGGCAACUGGUAUGCAUAAAUAAUUUUAGCAUCUAUCAUGGAUGAACUUGCCAACAGAGUUCCUCUUGUAUUCAUUAAACUGACAAUUAUACAAAAAGUUAUUGUCAGGGCAUAAUAAACUAUUACAUCCUACAACUGGUUUUCACAUUACCUAAAAUAGAUUUCCUUAGCUUGGCUCGAAAGUGUUGCCUAGCCACAGAAAAGAAAAGGAAUUCAUGAUCCCUAUAUGAUAUUACAAAAUAGAUCAUCAACCACUUUUAACGAUCUCCAAAAAAAGAGUCGUGUACAAAAAUUAUGACCAAUGAUUAUUUAAUACUCGGGAAUUAUGCAUACCUUUUCAGAGGAUUUACCAAGAAAUUUUGUCUUCUCACCCAAAGUCUCCACUGAGCGAUCAAUUAGUUUAGACAUGCUCUGAAGAGUGAAGAAAAAACAUGUUAGCUAAGAAAAUGACUAUAGAAUGGGCAUAUCCUCUCCGAAGAAUUACUUUAUUGAUCAAAUUAACUUCAGAAGGAAAAAUUCAUGUUAUCAAGCAACAGAAACAGGCAGACCAAUUAUUUCAAGUUACAAAAUAGAAAUAUAAAAUCAUGACCUCAACUUUUAUUGAUUGAGAGGAACAUGCAUAAUGUAAAGCAUCACAAUCAGGUUAAAUGAAAAUGGUUCAAGUCUUUAAUUGAAACAAACAUUUUUGGCUGAAAUAAAAUGUUGUCUUUAAUAAUAAGUCUAAAUAAAAGCACAGAUGUCAUUUUGCAAAUACCGGCAAGCUUUUUCAGGCCUUUGAACCAUGAAGAUCUAAAUAAAGUACUCUAUUGAGUUCAACUACUGAAAUUAACCAAAGUAUCUCAUUCUCACUUUUGGAAGCAGUAGCAAAUCGACGUUAAUCAAAAUGGAAGUUGAACCUUAACAUAUGACAGCAGUAUUUAAGACUUGACUUUGGUAUGAUAUAUCAAUCACAAAGGAAAAUGCGAUUUAAAAAAUCAGAGGCCUCCAUCAAGAAGAUAUAGCCCUUACCUUUUUGCAUUUCAUAUCCACAACUAUCUGCAAGUCAAGAAUAAUACCAAAUUAGUGAUCACAUGCACAUGAAAAGAAAAAAGAAGAAGAAGAAGAAUAAAAAGAGGAGAAAGAAAGAAAGAACAUUGAAAAGGACAAUAUGUAUUAAAUUGGCAUCAAUAUAUUUAAGACGUUACCAUGAACCUCCUGAAUCACAUCCCUGUACAGCUGGAACCCUUCUCCUAGCAAUUUAAAAAGAAAAUCUUCCAUAUCCUUCUGCAAAUGGUCAUCCUUUGAUUGUUUCGGUUUAGUUUCUUCUCUGAAAGUGCAGAAAUGCGAAACUCCCUUGGAUCCAACUUCAAUGGCUUUGAUGCCAGAAAAGUGCCAUUAGCUGGCUGUGCAGGUUUAACAUAAUCUUUACCAAGAAAACUUGAAACGGUACGUCCUGAUACCAGAUGCCAUUUUGUAUUAGAAGCUCUAGAUUUUCCAUUUCCAUAAAAUGAAUUCUCAGAGAUGUAACUAUUUGAUGAUUUUGAAGACUCUUUACCCCUUGCCUCCCCAGCAGAAGUAUGGACAGAAGAUGUUGAGGUGUUUGCCUGUUUGUUGCAGAGAAAUUCACCAGCCAAAUCGGGAUUUCCCCCUGCAUUGCAAUAAGCAAAAGUUAUUUCUUGCAGAGUAAACACAGAACCAAAUGUGUCAAGCAAACCCUUUUAGUGCCUUCCCCUCAAUGUCAUAAUUUAAUCCAUUAGACCCGACCCAGUUACUUCCAUUCCAAAUAAACUUCACAGAUUAAUACAAAAAGAAAAAAUCAGUACAUGCUUCUGGAUUUAAAUUUGACAUAAAUAGUUGGGGAAAACAGAAAAUUAAAGCAAAGUUUGGAACACAAAUUGAAUCACUGUAACACGUAAUCUACCCAAUCAAUGCCAAUAAAACAGAAGCCACUAACUAUUAGCACGGAAACUCCUUCACAAUGUUUUUGUUAUAACACUAAUUUUCUAAACAAUCACCCAACAUUCAUGGUGUGUAAUUAUAAAAUUGGGGAAUAAAAGACAAAAUCAGCGAAGAUAUGCUAAACCAACAAAAGAUUGUCUAUCAUGUACAUAUCCUAAUUGCAGCCUAGAAAAAGAAGAAUCCCAAAAAGGAGCCUUCAUCAUUUGAACUGUGGUACUUUUCAAAACCACAAACUCAUGAAUAAAGCUCCCAAUUUCACUAGUAUUGUGACGGUUACUUCACUUACAUGAAUAUUCAACAAACUUGAAAUCCCCAUCUACAAUCACAUGGUUACCUACAGUAUGAUCAAUAUUAAAUGAAACGCAAUUAUACAUAACAAAUAUAUGGGGGGAAAAAAAGAAAAAGAGAGAGAGAAAUGAAUGAAAUGCAAUUGUACAUAAUUUCAAAUAAAAAUAACAAUAAAUAAAUAAAUCAACUUCCAUUAGACCAAAAAUCGAUUACUUGUUCCAUCACCAAAUGUGUCAAGCAAACCCUUUUAGUGCCUUCCCCUCAAUGUCAUAAUUUAAUCCAUUAGACCCGACCCAGUUACUUCCAUUCCAAAUAAACUUCACAGAUUCAUACAAAAAGAAAAAAUCAGCACAUGCUUCUGGAUUUAAAUUUGACAUAAAUAGUUGGGGAAAACAGAAAAUUAAAGCAAAGUUUGGAACACAAAUUGAAUCACUGUAACACGUAAUCUACCCAAUCAAUGCCAAUAAAACAGAAGCCACAACUAUUAGCACGGAAACUCCUUCACAAUGUUUUUGUUAUAACACAAAUUUUCUAUACAAUCACCCAACAUUCAUGGUGUGUAAUUAUAAAAUUGGGGAAUAAAAGACAAAAUCAGCGAAGAUAUGCUAAACCAACAAAAGAUUGUCUAUCAUGUACAUAUCCUAAUUGCAGCCUAGAAAAAGAAGAAUCCCAAAAAGGAGCCUUCAUCAUUUGAACUGUGGUACUUUUCAAAACCACAAACUCAUGAAUAAAGCUCCCAAUUUCACUAGUAUUGUGACGGUUACUUCACUUACAUGAAUAUUCAACAAACUUGAAAUCCCCAUCUACAAUCACAUGGUUACCUACAGUAUGAUCAAUAUUAAAUGAAACGCAAUUAUACAUAACAAAUAUAUGGGGGGAAAAAAGCAAAAGAGAGAGAAAUGAAUGAAAUACAAUUGUACAUAAUUUCAAAUAAAAACAACAAUAAAUAAAUAAAUCAACUUCCAUUAGACCAAAAAUCGAUUACUUGUUCCAUCAAUCAUAACAACAUUCCAGAUAAGAUAAUACCCAAAUAUGACAAACAAAAAAUGCAGCAUGCAAAAGAAGUGAUUCAAUAAAAAAUGAGUUCCUAAGAAAUAUAGAAAGAAAAUUCGAGAAGCUUACAAGAGAGGUUUUGGUGAGGUUUUAGGGGAAUGAAAGGGGCCCAGUUCUUCUCUACUCACUUCUUCUACCCACAAUUGCUUUGAAGAAUGCGUUUGUUCAUAUAGAAAAAGAAAAAAGAGUCUGUUAAAAUAGGUUUAUUUUAUUAUUAUUAUUAUUAUUUUUAACAUAAAGUGUAUGGGAGAAGUUUAGUGCUUAUAAAUAUAUUUCACAUCACUGAGUAUAGCAGAAGCCUAACACUUGUAAAGGGUGAUUCACAACUUAUAAACAUAUUCUAUAUUACUCAGGUAUGAGAGAAGCCUAAUGCUUAUAAAGUGUUAUCCAUCCUAAUUGGAUUUGGCAUGCCAAAUCCACUAGUGUGCAUGCACAAUGUGCCCUCCUAUCACUGUCUUGGCCGAAUAUAAUUUGCUAUACUAAAACAUUACAUUACAACAACUAACAAUUAAGUGAUCUGAAAAUAGAGAAAACAACAAAUAAAAUAAAAAGAAACUAAUCACAAAAUUGGAGGCUUUCAAUGACAUAAUUAGUCCUUCUUCGAGAGCUUCAAAACAACAUGUCAUCUGUCUAAUUCUUACAUUUGUAUCCCAAAUUAUGACUCUUUGCAUCAGCAAAUCCUACAUGAUCAGAUGGGCAGUUAAUGUGAGUGGAGAAAUGAAAAGCUAAUAAUUGUACAAGAAUGCCACCAUACAACAACAAAUAUAGAGCAAAAUUUAACAAUAAAGAUAUAAAUAUGCAAUAAAUGGAAAAGCACUUACCAUAAGUUUUAUUCGAAUUUGUCUACUUGAAUAACCUUAAGAUUAGCAUCCAUCUCCAUACAUUUUUCUAUUUGAAUAACCUGUCGCUUCCCACAAUUUAUGACAAGCCUUCAUAUUAACUCAGCAAGGGCCGUUCAAACGAAAACAUUCUCGAGCCUUUGCAACUUCGACACAGCAGAACUUUAACUCUUCCAAAUUUCCACAACUCGAAAAACCUAGUUUUUCAAGAUGCUUCAACUCUGCCAAGGAAAAUGACUUUGGAUCAUCACAGCCUAUAUGCUCCAAGCAUUGUGUACAGCUUUGAUUCAUAACAGCAUUCCAGAUAAGAUAAUACCCAAAUACGACAAACAAAAAAUGCAGCAUGCAAAAGAAGUGAUUCAAUAAAAAAUGAGUUCCUAAGAAAUAUAGAAAGAAAAUCUGCUGUACCGUUUACAAGAGAGGUUUUGGUGAGGUUUUAGGGGAAUGAAAGGGGCUCAGUUCUUCUCUACUCACUUCUUCUCCCCACAGUUGCUUUGAAGAAUGCAUUUGUUCAUAUAGAAAAAGAAAAAAGAGUCUGUUAAAAUGGGUUUUUAUUAUUAUUAUUAUUAUUAUUAUUAUUAUUAUUUUUAACAUAAAGUGUAUGGGAGAAGUUUAGUGCUUAUAAAUAUAUUUCACAUCACUGAGUAUAGCAGAAGCCUAACACUUGUAAAGGGUGAUUCACAACUUAUAAACAUAUUCUAUAUUACUCAGGUAUGAGAGAAGCCUAAUGCUUAUAAAGUGUUAUCCAUCCUAAUUGGAUUUGGCAUGCCAAAUCCACUAGUGUGCAUGCACAAUGUGCCCUCCUAUCNNNNNNNNNNNNNNNNNNNNNNNNNNNNNNNNNNNNNNNNNNNNNNNNNNNNNNNNNNNNNNNNNNNNNNNNNNNNNNNNNNNNNNNNNNNNNNNNNNNNNNNNNNNNNNNNNNNNNNNNNNNNNNNNNNNNNNNNNNNNNNNNNNNNNNNNNNNNNNNNNNNNNNNNNNNNNNNNNNNNNNNNNNNNNNNNNNNNNNNNNNNNNNNNNNNNNNNNNNNNNNNNNNNNNNNNNNNNNNNNNNNNNNNNNNNNNNNNNNNNNNNNNNNNNNNNNNNNNNNNNNNNNNNNNNNNNNNNNNNNNNNNNNNNNNNNNNNNNNNNNNNNNNNNNNNNNNNNNNNNNNNNNNNNNNNNNNNNNNNNNNNNNNNNNNNNNNNNNNNNNNNNNNNNNNNNNNNNNNNNNNNNNNNNNNNNNNNNNNNNNNNNNNNNNNNNNNNNNNNNNNNNNNNNNNNNNNNNNNNNNNNNNNNNNNNNNNNNNNNNNNNNNNNNNNNNNNNNNNNNNNNNNNNNNNNNNNNNNNNNNNNNNNNNNNNNNNNNNNNNNNNNNNNNNNNNNNNNNNNNNNNNNNNNNNNNNNNNNNNNNNNNNNNNNNNNNNNNNNNNNNNNNNNNNNNNNNNNNNNNNNNNNNNNNNNNNNNNNNNNNNNNNNNNNNNNNNNNNNNNNNNNNNNNNNNNNNNNNNNNNNNNNNNNNNNNNNNNNNNNNNNNNNNNNNNNNNNNNNNNNNNNNNNNNNNNNNNNNNNNNNNNNNNNNNNNNNNNNNNNNNNNNNNNNNNNNNNNNNNNNNNNNNNNNNNNNNNNNNNNNNNNNNNNNNNNNNNNNNNNNNNNNNNNNNNNNNNNNNNNNNNNNNNNNNNNNNNNNNNNNNNNNNNNNNNNNNNNNNNNNNNNNNNNNNNNNNNNNNNNNNNNNNNNNNNNNNNNNNNNNNNNNNNNNNNNNNNNNNNNNNNNNNNNNNNNNNNNNNNNNNNNNNNNNNNNNNNNNNNNNNNNNNNNNNNNNNNNNNNNNNNNNNNAAUUUUAGGCAAAAGUUUCAAAAUCAUAGCUGUCAACAUUUCUACAUAUUUCCUACAUUUUUCUACAAACAUAAAUAAUUGAAUAAAAAAAUGAUCGGAAAACUAACCACUGGGGCAACUUCAAUGCCACCUUGGUUUCUCUGGUAUCCUAGAACUGUACAUGGCUCUGAAGAAUGAAACGAAGGUAACAGUACAAAAUCCGCCAUCUGGACAACUAAUAAAUCGUGAAAAUCAGCGACAAAGCUGGCACGGUGGCUCCCAUCAUCAAGAAUCGUUUAGUAAUGGCGUUUCAAUUAUACAGAGAUAGCUCAUCAUACCUUUGCUUUGCUCCUGCUCAAGUGAAAGGGGUGGUAUUUCGUACUGUUGUCAAUGGAAAUAACAUUUGUGCCACAAAAGUUUUGAGAAAUAACACAAAGAAGAUAGUUUAUAAUUACUUUUCAAACAGGUAUCUUUUAUUAGUGGAAGUGGCAAUUUGGGUUUUCUGUGCUGUGUUGUCUUCUUAUCAUGUCAAAAUUGAACCAACUAAACUUCUCCUUAUGUAAUAAUUAUAUCAAGAAUCUCAAUUCUUACAGAAAUCCAUUUAUUCUUGUGUCACCUAAUUAAUAAAAUAAUAAAAUUUUCUUCAUUAAAAUAAUAUUUUAACGUACUAUAUUCUUUUAGAAAUGAUGUACUAUCACCUACAAAACAUGACAAAUGUAACACAUAUCUAAUUGACUAAUAUAUAAUUUAAUAUUAAUUGAUUAAUUAAUCCUUCGUAAAACAAGUUAUCAUAUUAGCACGCUUAUGAUAAAUCGUUACAAUUCUUAUUCCAAUUGUUUAAUUUAAACAAUUCAUCAAAAAAGAUUUAGUAAAAAUUAUUUCUGCAUAACAUUCUUGAGAAAAAGAAAUUGAGUUCAAAAUUGAAAAACAAAGAAUAUUUGGAUUUGAAUUCACAUCCAACUCAAACGAAACAGCGAUAUUCAUAAAAAAAAAGUUUGAAUUCUCUUCCCCAAAAAAAAAUAAAUUAUGAGGUUGAUAAUAAAAAUUUUUACAGUAGCUUUCAGUAUUUUUAAGUUAUUAAUUUCCUGCAAAAAUCAUAUAAUACAACGUUCAUAAGCAAAUGCACAUAGUUGAAUCAACCAAAUCAGGGAGAAAAUACAAUACUUAAUUUGAAUGGCAAGCACGACUAACUAAUUUGCAAUUCAGCUCUGACUUGAAUUUUUUAAUAGGGAAUCACUUAGUAAUGACAAUAAAAAAUCCUUGCUUGUUCUUUUUUUUGGAAAAAAAUUUAAUAAUUAUCGAUAAUAAAAUAAUGAUAUCUCGUUCCUUUUUUACCCUCGCAACCUAAUAAAAUUUCCUUAUCUAAUACCCAUAUUAAAACGCACUUUCACUUUCCCUCUUCCAAUUUGGCGCGCGAUCUUCUCAAUUUCAAAAGCCAAAAGGUCAGUCAACUCUCUAAACCGUAAUUUUCUGUUUGUUUCCCGAGAAAAUCCAUGAAAAUGAACCGUUAAAAACAUAAAUAAUUGAAUAAAAAAAAAUGAUCGGAAAACUAACCACCGGGGCAACUUCAAUGCCACCUUGGUUUCUCUGGUAUCCUAGAACUGUACAUGGCUCUGAAGAAUGAAACGAAGGUAACAGUACAAAAUCCGCCAUCUGGACAACUAAUAAAUCGUGCAAAUCAGCGACAAAGCUGGCACGGUGGCUCCCAUCAUCAAGAAUCGUUUAGUAAUGGCGUUUCAAUUAUACAGAGAUAGCUCAUCAUACCUUUGCUUUGCUCCUGCUCAAGUGAAAGGGGUGGUAUUUCGUACUGUUGUCAAUGGAAAUAACAUUUGUGCCACAAAAGUUUUGAGAAAUAACACAAAGAAGAUAGUUUAUAAUUACUUUUCAAACAGGUAUCUUUUAUUAGUGGAAGUGGCAAUUUGGGUUUUCUGUGCUGUGUUGUCUUCUUAUCAUGUCAAAAUUGAACCAACUAAACUUCUCAAAAACUCCUUCACUGAUUAAAGUCCGCACAUCCCGUAGCUUUUUAGCCACUUUUUUCCCGAACUUGUAGCUUGACAUGCAAUUCUUGGAACAGUAGCCUCCAACACAUAAUUUUUCAAUUUCUCGAGAGCCGUCUGUGAUAAGUUCAUCGGCUUCAGUUUUAACAGAAUCCACCCUCGAAACCCACACUUGCACUCCGUCCAGCCUUCUCAUUUGUUGCCGUUCAGCAUCGACAACCCUCCUCAUCACAUCGUUCUUUCUAGCGAUCAGAUUUCCCAAUUCAGUCUCCAAGGCAUCAAGAUUAUCUUGGAGGUUACGUAUGUAUGCUGCUUUUCCAAGAAAGCAAUCCAAGCAACGAUUGAAAAAAGCACCAUCGCAUGUGAUCUGAAAAAUGCUACACAUCUUUGCAAUUUUGUUAAGAAAGAAAAUUGAUUGAGUUUGAUAAACUGAAGCUGCUGUAAUUGCCUGUGGAAGAUAAAUUUUAGUAAUGACCUCUGUUCGUUAUACGGGGAAAAUUUUAAAAUGAUUUAGGCACGCUCGAGUCGGGACCCACUGUAAACACGAACCUUUAGACAAAGAGCAUCGCACAUUCACACUUGCAAACACGAGUCUCUAACUUUUGAAGGAAAAACAGUUAGUAAUUAUCCUUUACCCACUGCCCCCGAAGAUAACAAUAACUCUUGAAUAAUGAUUAAUGAAUGACCCGAUUGUAAUUACCAAAAACUAGUUUUGAAAAAUAAUAAAACAAGAAUUUGAAAAAGACUAUUCGACUACUUUUUACUUGCGUUUAAUAAAAAGAGCCUAAUCGUCUGUCCUACUUCUAUUCAAAAGAAUCCACUUUUAAUUUGUAGUUUAGUAAGAGAAACCAGCUGGUUGAAAAUAAAUUGAAAAUUUAAUCUAUCUAAUAGAUUAGUAAUAUUAAUUUUUUUAAUAUUUGAAGUAAUUUCAAAAAUAUAAUUAUUAAUUUAUCAUAAAUAAAUCUUUAGGUUAAAUGGUAUUUUAAAUUAAUAAAAUAUGAAUAUCUCACAUAUUUUAUUAAAAUUAUUUUAUAUAAUACUUAAAAUACUCUAAAUUUUCUAUAUAUUCNNNNNNNNNNNNNNNNNNNNNNNNNNNNNNNNNNNNNNNNNNNNNNNNNNNNNNNNNNNNNNNNNNNNNNNNNNNNNNNNNNNNNNNNNNNNNNNNNNNNNNNNNNNNNNNNNNNNNNNNNNNNNNNNNNNNNNNNNNNNNNNNNNNNNNNNNNNNNNNNNNNNNNNNNNNNNNNNNNNNNNNNNNNNNNNNNNNNNNNNNNNNNNNNNNNNNNNNNNNNNNNNNNNNNNNNNNNNNNNNNNNNNNNNNNNNNNNNNNNNNNNNNNNNNNNNNNNNNNNNNNNNNNNNNNNNNNNNNNNNNNNNNNNNNNNNNNNNNNNNNNNNNNNNNNNNAGAGCAUGAUAACUUCCCAAGGUCAACUCCAAUACCUCUAAAUAUUUCAAACCGAGCAAUUCCUGUACUAAAACUUCACCCCCACCAAAUAAAACGCUGUCUUCUGGUGCUUCAUGAAAAAUGCCCAAGCCAGUAGCGAACAUUCUCAACACACGUAACCUUGAAGAAUUUGAUAUUAGUUGCCGUGGAAUUUUAUUUAAAUGCUGUGUCCACCUCAAAUUCAAACAUUUCAGAUUUACCAACUUCUUUAACUCUUCCGGUAACUCUGUUAUGCUGUUUUCUGAAAUAUCGAGAAGUUCUAGUGAUGAACCCAACUCUGACAUCCCAACAGGUAAUUUCAAAUUCGAACAGUUUGACAUCUUCAAAACUUUGAGAGAAGGCAUAAGUUGGAAGAAGCCAUCCGCGAUCAUCUCCAACUCCUGAUUAAAGUCAAGAAAUAAAGUGAGGAGAUGAGGGCAUGUGGGAACCUCUGCCAGAGUUUCAAUUUGGUUUUGCAUCAAUGACAAUCUUCUCACAUUUUCCCAUCCUUUAACACCCGGUGCCUCUUUUAAUCCAGCACCUGCACGAACCAAAAAGUUUCGCUUCUCCUUCUCAAUUUCACAAGUUAUCCAUAUAGCCAUAUCACGAAUAACGUCAUGCAUUUUUACUUCAUCAUCUUCCACCUCUUCUAAUAAACAUGCACGAACAAGAGUGUCCAAAAUGUCAUAUCCUUGGUUUUCUGCACCAAACCCUUCAGAUUCCCCAAAAAAUCCCUCGCCAAACCAACAAUCAAUCAAGUCCCAUUUAAGAAUGCCAUAAUCUUCAGGAUAUAAACAACAGUACAAGAAACAAGAUCUAACCGUAUCAUUCUGCAAACUAUCAUAGCUGAAUUUUAAAAGAGGAUACACCUCUUUUCCCAAACAUGCAAACUUUGAAGCUGAUCUCCUUAACUCUUCAAUUGCACGUCUCCACUGCUCCGCUUUCUUUCUGUAGGCCAUAGCUCGACCAAUAGUAAUAAGUGCGAGUGGCAAACCACCACACUCUUUGACCACAAUUUGGGCUAGCUCAACGAUAUCAUGAUGACUCUGAAGAGUUUCUUCCCCAACUUUUUCUCGAAACAGUUCCCAAGCAUCCUUUUCUGAUAAGCAUGCUACUUGAAACUUCCUGUCAACUUCCAUGCUACCACAAACAUCGAUGAAACGGGUUGUGAAUACGACUUUUGAG